AAAGAGGCAUUAUUUUCAUUCGAGGACGUGCCUUCCUCUUUGCCUCCUGCUGUCACUAACAUUUUGCAGGAGUUCGCUGACGUCUUUCCACAAGACGUGCCACCGGGAUUACCGCCUAUUCGAGGGAUUGAGCAUCAGAUUGACUUAAUUCCCGGUGCUUCACUGCCAAACCGUGCACCAUACCGUACCAAUCCGGAGGAGACGAAGGAGAUUAUGCGCCAAGUACAAGAGCUUCUCGACAAAGGUUAUAUACGCGAAUCCCUUAGUCCUUGUGCUGUUCCUAUUAUUCUAGUGCCGAAAAAGGAUGGUACAUCACGUAUGUGUGUUGAUUGUAGAGGCAUUAAUAAUAUUACUAUUCGUUAUCGUCAUCCUAUUCCUAGGCUAGAUGAUAUGCUUGAUGAAUUGAGUGGCUCUACAAUAUUCUCCAAAGUUGAUUUGCGUAGUGGCUACCAUCAAAUUCGUAUGAAAUUGGGAGAUGAAUGGAAAACAGCAUUUAAAACUAAGUUUGGAUUAUAUGAGUGGUUAGUCAUGCCUUUUGGGUUAACUAAUGCACCUAGUACUUUCAUGAGAUUAAUGAACGAAGUUUUACGUGCUUUCAUUGGACGAUUUGUGGUAGUUUACUUUGAUGACAUACUGAUUUAUAGCAGAUCUUUGGAAGAACAUUUGGGACAUUUACGUGCUGUUUUUAUUGCUCUACGUGAUGCACGUUUGUUUGGUAACCUUGGGAAGUGCACCUUUUGCACCGACCGAGUAUCUUUUCUUGGCUAUGUUGUUACUCCACAGGGAAUUGAAGUUGACAAAGCCAAGAUUGAAGCUAUUGAGAGUUGGCCGCAGCCCAAAACGGUCACACAAGUGAGGAGUUUUCUUGGCCUCGCUGGAUUCUAUAGGCGUUUUGUGAGAGAUUUCAGCACCAUUGCUGCACCUCUCAACGAGCUUACAAAGAAGGAUGUUCCUUUUGUUUGGGGUACCGCACAGGAAGAAGCCUUCACGGUAUUGAAAGAUAAGUUGACACAUGCUCCUUUACUCCAACUUCCUGAUUUUAAUAAGACUUUUGAGCUUGAAUGUGAUGCUAGUGGAAUUGGAUUAGGAGGUGUGUUAUUACAAGAUGGCAAACCUGUUGCAUACUUUUCUGAAAAAUUGAGUGGGCCUAGUCUGAAUUAUUCUACUUAUGAUAAAGAAUUAUAUGCUCUUGUUCGGACUUUAGAAACAUGGCAACAUUAUUUAUGGCCCAAAGAAUUUGUUAUACAUUCUGAUCAUGAAUCUUUGAAACACAUUAAAAGUCAAGCUAAACUGAAUCGUAGACAUGCUAAAUGGGUUGAAUUCAUUGAGACUUUCCCUUAUGUCAUUAAACACAAGAAGGGAAAAGAAAAUGUUAUUGCUGAUGCAUUGUCUCGUCGCUAUACUAUGCUUUCACAACUUGACUUCAAAAUAUUUGGUUUGGAGACCAUCAAAGAUCAAUAUGUGCAUGAUGCUGAUUUUAAAGAUGUAAUGCAGAAUUGUAAAGAAGGAAGAAUGUGGAACAAGUUUGUCGUUAACGAUGGAUUUGUGUUUCGUGCUAACAAGCUAUGCAUUCCAGCUAGCUCCGUCCGUCUUUUGUUGUUGCAGGAGGCGCAUGGAGGAGGAUUAAUGGGACACUUUGGCGUGAAGAAGACGGAGGACGUACUUGCUACACAUUUCUUUUGGCCAAAGAUGAGACGGGAUGUUGAGCGUUUUAUUGCUCGAUGCACUACAUGUCAAAAAGCUAAGUCACGACUCAAUCCUCAUGGUUUAUAUAUGCCUUUGCCUGUACCUAGUGUUCCUUGGGAGGAUAUAUCUAUGGACUUUGUUUUAGGUUUACCUCGAACAAAGAAGGGGAGGGAUAGCAUAUUUGUUGUCGUGGAUAGAUUCUCGAAAAUGGCACACUUUAUACCAUGUCAUAAAAGCGAUGAUGCUGUUAAUGUUGCUGAUUUGUUCUUUCGUGAAAUUAUUCGCUUGCAUGGUGUGCCAAAUACUAUUGUUUCAGAUCGUGAUACUAAAUUUCUUAGCCACUUUUGGAGAUGUUUAUGGGCUAAGUUGGGGACUAAACUGCUUUUUAGUACUACUUGUCACCCCCAAACUGAUGGACAAACUGAAGUAGUCAAUAGAACGUUGUCUACUAUGCUUAGGGCUGUUUUGAAUGAUAAUAAGAAAAUGUGGGAGGAAUGCUUGCCUCAUAUUGAAUUUGCUUAUAAUCGUUCAUUGCAUUCUACUACUAAGAUGUGCCCUUUUGAAGUUGUGUAUGGUUUCCUACCUCGUGCACCUAUUGAUUUGUUGCCUCUUCCAUCUUCGGAGAAGGUUAAUUUUGAUGCUAAACAACGUGCUGAAUUGAUUUUAAAAAUGCAUGAGUUAACUAUGGAAAACAUUGAGCGCAUGAAUGCUAAAUAUAAACUUGCUGGAGAUAAGGGUAGAAAACAUGUUGUGUUUGCACCUGGAGAUCUUGUUUGGUUACAUUUGCGUAAGGAUAGAUUUCCUAAUUUGCGCAAAUCAAAGUUAAUGCCACGUGUUGAUGGUCCCUUUAAGGUGUUAGAGAAAAUAAAUGAUAAUGCAUAUAAACUUGAGCUGCCUGCAGAUUUUGGGGUUAGUCCCACUUUUAACAUUGCAGAUUUGAAGCCUUAUUUGGGUGAGGAAGAUGAACUUCCGUCGAGGACGACUUCAUUUCAAGAAGGGGAGGAUGAUGAGGACAUCAAUACAAUUGUUACACCCACAGCCCCUGCUGCUAUACAUACUGGACCAAUUACUAGAGCUCGUGCACGCCAACUAAAUUACCAGGUACUUUCGUUUCUUGGUAAUGAUUCUAAUGUUCAUGAGAAUAUGAUGCUGCCUAAAUUGGAUACAUUUGUUUUGCUUACAAAUGAAGGGCCUAGCUUGGACAAGGAUGAACAUUGGAGC
rnacentral:rRNA from 1 species